UGUAUAUGUAUGUGUGUGUGUGAGUGUAUGUAUACAUGUAUAUACACACACACACACACACACACUGUGUA
rnacentral:pre_miRNA from 11 species